AGUGAACGCUGGCGGUAGGCCUAACACAUGCCAGUCGAACGGCAGCACAGUAAGAGCUUGCUCUUACGGGUGGCGAGUGGCGGACGGGUGAGGAAUACAUCGGAAUCUACUUUUUCGUGGGGGAUAACGUAGGGAAACUUACGCUAAUACCGCAUACGACCUACGGGUGAAAGCAGGGGAUCUUCGGACCUUGCGCGAUUGAAUGAGCCGAUGUCGGAUUAGCUAGUUGGCGGGGUAAAGGCCCACCAAGGCGACGAUCCAUAGCUGGUCUGAGAGGAUGAUCAGCCACACUGGAACUGAGACACGGUCCAGACUCCUACGGGAGGCAGCAGUGGGGAAUAUUGGACAAUGGGCGCAAGCCUGAUCCAGCCAUACCGCGUGGGUGAAGAAGGCCUUCGGGUUGUAAAGCCCUUUUGUUGGGAAAGAAAAGCAGCAGGUUAAUACCCCGCUGUUCUGACGGUACCCAAAGAAUAAGCACCGGCUAACUUCGUG
rnacentral:rRNA from 1 species